rnacentral:rRNA from 1 species
GUAGCAGAGUAGUUUGUUCUUUAAUUGGGAGUUGGUAUGAAAGGUUGAACAAAGAAUAUCUUUUAGGUUAGAUAAAGUAAAUUAAAGUCUAAGUUAAAAUGCUUAGAUAAAAUAAAGGGACGAUAAGACCCUAAAAGCUUAAUUUAUUUUGGUUAAAUUCAGUUUAUUGUAAAAAUAUGCUAAGGGUAAAAUUAGCUGGGGAAGUAGUUUUGUUUAAUCAAAAUUUAAGUGUAUUAUGAUUUAAGCUAAAAGGUCUUGAAAAUAAGAGUUAACGGAAGGAGUUACUUUAGGGAUAACAGCGCAAUGGUUUUGGAGAGUUCUUAUUUAUAAAAUUAUGUGCGACCUCGAUGUUGAAUUAAGAAGUCUUAGGGGAGCAGUAAAUCUGUAAGAGGGUUUGUUCAACCUUUAAAUUUUU